rnacentral:rRNA from 1 species
AACCGUAGUAAUUCUAGAGCUAAUACGUGCCACAAGGCGACUUUUGUCGUGGUAUAAAUUGGAGAUACAAACCAAUAUUUGGUGAUUCACGAUUUCUUUUCUGAUCGCACUAUGUGCGACGCAUCGUUCAAAUUUCUGACCUAUCAACUUUGGAUGGUAAGGUAUUGUCUUACCAUGGUUGUGACGGGUAACGGACCGUGGGUGCGGGACUCCGGAGAGGGAGCCUGAGAAACGGCUACCACAUCCAAGGAAGGCAGCAGGCGCGCAAAUUACCCAAUCCGGACACCGGGAGGUAGUGACAAGAAAUAGCAAUAGAGGGCCCGAUGGGUUUUCUAAUUGGAAUGAGAACAAGGUAAACAGCUUAUCGAGGAGCCAGCAGAGGGCAAGUCUGGUGCCAGCAGCCGCGGUAAUUCCAGCUCUGUAAGCGUAUACCAAAGUUGUUGCAGUUAAAACGCUCGUAGUCGGAACUUGGCGGGCGACGCAGGGCGUCUUUGCGGACGGAUCUGUAUCGGCCGCCUUUGUGGAGGGGGGCUUAGCGGUGCUUUAUUGCCUUGCUAAGUCGCUGCCACCGUUUACUGUGAAAAAAUUGGAGUGUUCAAAGCAGGCGUUUGCCUUGUACACAUUAGCAUGGAAUAAUAGAAUAGGACCUGGUUCUGUUUUGUUGGUUUGUGAGAAUUAGGUAAUGAUUAAGAGGGACGGUUGGGGGCAUUUGUAUUCUGCCGUCAGAGGUGAAAUUCUUAGAUUGGCGGAAGACAAACAGCUGCGAAAGCGUCUGCCAAGGACGUUUUCAUUGAUCAAGAACGAAAGUAAGGGGAUCGAAGACGAUCAGAUACCGUCGUAGUCUUUACUAUAAACGAUGAGGACUGGGGAUCGGGCGGCGCUGCUUUAUGGCCCGCCCGGCACCCUUCGGGAAACCAAAGUGUUUGCUUUCUGGGGGGAGUAUGGUCGCAAGGCUGAAACUUAAAGGAAUUGACGGAAGGGCAUCACCGGGUGUGGAGCCUGCGGCUUAAUUUGACUCAACACGGGGAAACUUACCAGGUCCGGACAUAGUGAGGAUUGACAGAUUGAGAGCUCUUUCUUGAUUCUAUGGUUGGUGGUGCAUGGCCGUUCUUAGUUGGUGGAGUGAUCUGUCUGGUUAAUUCCGUUAACGAGCGAGACCUGGGCGUGCUAGCUAGGCGCCGUUACCUCUUUCGGUAGCGAGGCUUGCCUUCCUAGACGGACUGCGGGCGUCUAGUCCGCGGAAGCUCCAGGCAAUAACAGGUCUGAGAUGCCCUUAGAUGUUCUGGGCCGCACGCGUGCUACACUGAGCGGGUCAACGGGUGAGGAUAGGCGAGAGCCUUUCCUAAUCUCUAAAUCCGCUCGUGCUGGGGAUCGAGGCUUGCAAUU